UGGAUCCUACGGGGGGCAGCAGUGGGGAAUAUUGCACAAUGGGGGGAACCCUGAUGCAGCGACGCCGCGUGAGUGAAGAAGUAUUUCGGUAUGUAAAGCUCUAUCAGCAGGGAAGAUAAUGACGGUACCUGACUAAGAAGCCCCGGCUAACUACGUGCCAGCAGCCGCGGUAAUACGUAGGGGGCAAGCGUUAUCCGGAUUUACUGGGUGUAAAGGGUGCGCAGGUGGAAGGGCAAGUCAGAUGUGAAAGCCCGGGGCUCAACC
rnacentral:rRNA from 1 species